GACGAACGCUGGCGGCGUGCCUAAUACAUGCAAGUCGAGCGGACAGAAGGGAGCUUGCUCCCGGAAGUUAGCGGCGGACGGGUGAGUAACACGUGGGCAACCUACCCUGUAGAUCGGGAUAACAUCGAGAAAUCGGUGCUAAUACCGGAUAAUCAUUUGAAGUGCAUGCUUCGAAUGUAAAAGAUGGCUCCGGCUAUCACUACGGGAUGGGCCCGCGGCGCAUUAGCUAGUUGGUAAGGUAAUGGCUUACCAAGGCAACGAUGCGUAGCCGACCUGAGAGGGUGAUCGGCCAACACGGGGAUGGGACACGGCCCCGACUCCUACGGGAGGCAGCAGUAGGGAAUCUUCCGCAAAGGACGAAAGUCUGACGGGGCAACGCCGCGUGAGUGAUGAAGGUUUUCGGAUCGUAAAGCUCUGUUGUUAGGGAAGAACAAGUGCCGUUUGAAUAAGGCGGCACCUUGACGGUACCUAACCAGAAAGCCACGGCUAACUACGUGCCAGCCGCCGCCGUAAAAC
rnacentral:rRNA from 1 species